rnacentral:rRNA from 1 species
AGUGAACGCUGGCGGUAGGCCUAACACAUGCAAGUCGAACGGCAGCACAGUAAGAGCUUGCUCUUACGGGUGGCGAGUGGCGGACGGGUGAGGAAUACAUCGGAAUCUACUUUUUCGUGGGGGAUAACGUAGGGAAACUUACGUUAAUACCGCAUACGACCUACGGGUGAAAGCAGGGGAUCUUCGGACCUUGCGCGAUUGAAUGAGCCGAUGUCGGAUUAGCUAGUUGGCGGGGUCAAGGCCCACCAAGGCGACGAUCCGUAGCUGGUCUGAGAGGAUGAUCAGCCACACUGGAACUGAGACACGGUCCAGACUCCUACGGGAGGCAGCAGUGGGGAAUAUUGGACAAUGGGCGCAAGCCUGAUCCAGCCAUACCGCGUGGGUGAAGAAGGCCUUCGGGUUGUAAAGCCCUUUUGUUGGGAAAGAAAAGCAGCAGGUUAAUACCCCGCUGUUCUGACGGUACCCAAAGAAUAAGCACCGGCUAACUUCGUG